AGCCCCUCAGUCCCUUCAGCCGCGUCAGCCGCCUUAUCCCCUCGGCCCCUCAAGCCCCUCACCAGCCUCAGCCCCUCAGCCGCCUCAGCCCCUCAGCCCCUCAGCAGCCUUAGCCCCUCAGCCCCUCAGCCUCUCAGCCCCUCAGCCGCCCCCGCCGCCUCAGCCCCUCAGCCUCUCAGCCGCCCCCGCCGCCGUUAGCUCACCCGCCCGGCUGCCUUAGGGAUUGGCGCUGCCCAGCGGGGUCCAGCGCAGCCUCCUGCCGGUUUUCCCACCGGUGGCUCCCGCCACUGGCUCCCGCGCUCCGUGGGCAGGGCCAGUCCGGGGGAGCGGACCCCGAGAGGCGCGGCGGGAUGGCAGGCCGUGUCCAAAAGCCUCUGAAAGCCGCAGCCGGGCGCGAGUCGCUGACCGACCGGGAGGCCCCGCUCUGUCCCAGCCAAGGCCUCCCGGCGCCAUCACCCACCAGGAGUCCCGGGCGGGGGCAUCGCUCCCUCCACGCUGUCGCGGGCUUCUGCCAGGCGGUGAUCCGUGCCCAACGCCACCAAAGGGAAGCUUGUCCCCGAGAGUGGGGGAAAACGCAUCCUUCACGGGGAUGUGAAAACUCGAGGUCCUCCUGCCAGGAGCCCACGGCCUCAGAUGGGGCCCAGGACGCGCCCGCGCUGGGGAAGCGCCCCCUCCACCUGAGCCCGAAAUUGUCCCUAACAAACCCAACACCCGCAGGGCUGACGUUUGGGCUCCGGGGUGCGGUGUCCAUGAAAUGGGCACCGCGUGCUUCCCAUGCAAAAGACACGAAGUCUGGAGUUUAUGAAAUUAUUGAAGGAAAGCCGCGCCAGUGCCAAGAGAUCAUGGCCCAGAGCUGGCAGAACUGAUCAGACCAAUGCUGAGCAAAAGGCCUGAAGAAGACCAUCUGGAGGAGCAUCCGGAGGGCCUUCCCCAAAGCACCAGAUCGCCUUCCUUUCCGAGGCCACAAAGGCGAGAACCUCCAGAAAUAGCAUGAAACACGGUGACUUGGUGACAUCCAAGCCUGCUGCCACCGUGGUUUCCGGCAAGGCAGAAUCAAGGCAUGAAGUAAUCCACGCCAACCACGCUCCUCUGAGGGCUGAGCAAGACAUCGAUAGUGGGUGAAGCAUCACAGGUCCACAAAUUGAAAGUGUGCCCCCAGGAGCUGCACUAAAUGAUUUGUACCCAUCUGCACCUGAUUUAGAACAUUUAGAAGACGCAUGAGGAAGGUGCUCUUUUGAGUCCGGCUUCUUCACUCAAUAAUGACAUCUGUGAGAUCCUCUUAUAUUGUUGCAUGUGGUCAUAGGUCAUUCUUUUUCAUUGCUGUAUAGUAUUUCAUUGCAUGAAUACACUGUCAUUUGUUGAUGUUUUCUGUUUAUGGACAUUUAGGUUGUGCUAGACAGUGAUAGUUUUGACUGAGUAGAAGUUACCUUGCUAUGCAGCAGCAGAGAGGAUAGGGAGGAACAUUUGAGAAGACAGGAACAACAUGUGCAAAGGCCUUUGGCAGGAGGGAGCAUGCCUGGGGCCCUGAAGGCUGGUGUGGCUUCCUGGUACCCCGCUUCUAGGCCACUGUGUUCUGAGCGCCUGCUGCCCUGGCCUGGUGUGUGGCCCUCCACACCCAUUCCCACCUCCUCCUCCUGUGCCUUCCUGACCUGCAGGGGCUGGGAAGCUGAAGGGGAGUGAUGUAGCCACAGAAGAAACACGUGGAACCACAGCAGCUGGAGGCGGUGAGAAAUGGCAUCCCCCUAGGCCCUUUGUAGGAAGCAGGGCCCUGCCAACAUCUUGAUUGCAGAUUUCUCACCUCUAGAACUGUGAGAAAAUUAAUUUCUAUUGUUUUAAGCCACCAAGUUUUUGGUCAUUUGUCACAGAUCCACAGGAAACUCAUGUGUCUCAUGCAUUAGUAAGCAGCAUGGUAUUCUGGAUCUACUGGAACAGUCUCGCAAUGAGUUCAGACAAGAAUUACUAAAGGCAAUUGGUGAAAUUAAACAUCUUUCCAGCCUGCUGGCCAAGGUGAGGAGAGACAGUUUUUUACUGGUAUUUGCCCGUCCUUGUUCACAUUUCUACCCUUAACCUCUAAAUUCACAGAGCACAGAGAAGCAUUUGCUCAUCUAUUUCACUCAUGAAGCCAGCAUUCCAGCUUGAAGGCCUGUUAGAUUGCAGACAGAUUGGCACUGGGAUACAAAAAGGAAACACCCAAAUUUCUGGUGGUAGACAGUUCAAAGUGUAGUUGAGAUGUAGAGAAUCAAAGCAGAGAGUACAAUGCAGUGAUAAAGAAUAUCAGCCAGGCACAGUGGCUCACACCUGUAAUCCCAGGACUUUGGGAGUCCGAGGUAGGCAGAUCACCUGAGGUCAGGAGUUCGAGACCAGCCUGGCCAACAUGGCAAAACCCCAUCUCUACUAAAAAUACAAAAAUUAUCUGGGAGUGGUGGCGGGGGCCUGUAAUCCCAGCUACUUGGGAGGCUGAGGCAGGAGAAUUGGUUGAACCUGGGAGGCAGAGGUUGCAGUGAGCUGAGAAGAUCAUGCCACUGCAAUUCAGCCUGGGUGACACAAUGAGACUCCAUCAAGAAAGAGAGAGAGAGAG